rnacentral:lncRNA from 1 species
UUCUAUAUUUGGAAACGUCUGUGGCUCCCCACAGAAUACAAAUUAGUAAAGAGAUUGCAGGAAUUCAAAAGUACCUGUAUUUCCAAAAAAAAUGCACUAAACUUGAUUUAAAGGUGAGAUUUCAAUAAUAUGUGUCAAAUACAUAUGACGAGAAUAUCAAGGUAUGAUGUUCUUGUAACUCACGUUCAACUUUUAUCAAUUAUUUAACACUUUAUAUUGGAUAACAUGAGUGUAAGAAUUAUUACCAUUUGAGCUUUUGCAUAAAGUUAGAGAUUGAGGUGUGCACAUUUUUACUGAAUAAGAAGCUGAAACUAAUAUAACUUUUUGUAGGAGAAAACAAAUAUUACAUCAACCGAAAAAAUAGAAUAAGAUACAAAUUCACGUUUUCCUUAC